rnacentral:rRNA from 1 species
GCCGCGUGCAGGAAGACUGCCCUAUGGGUUGUAAACUGCUUUUAUACAGGAAGAAACCGCUCUACGUGUAGAGCUCUGACGGUACUGUAAGAAUAAGGAUCGGCUAACUCCGUGCCAGCAGCCGCGGUAAUACGGAGGAUCCAAGCGUUAUCCGGAAUCAUUGGGUUUAAAGGGUCCGUAGGUGGAUAAUUAAGUCAGAGGUGAAAGUUUGCAGCUCAACUGUAAAAUUGCCUUUGAUACUGGUUAUCUUGAGUUAUUAUGAAGUAGUUAGAAUAUGUAGUGUAGCGGUGAAAUGCAUAGAUAUUACAUAGAAUACCAAUUGCGAAGGCAGAUUACUAAUAAUUAACUGACACUGAUGGACGAAAGCGUGGGGAGCGAACAGGAUUAGAUACCCUGGUAGUCCACGCCGUAAACGAUGGUUACUAGCUGUUCGGACUUCGGUCUGAGUGGCUAA